AAUGAACGUUGGCGGCGUGGAUUAGGCAUGCAAGUCGAGCGCUCAUCAGCAAUGGUGGGAGCGGCGAACGGCGUAGUAAUGCAUCGGAACGUACCCUCUGGACGGGGAUAGCCACGGGAAACUGUGGGUAAUACCCGAUAAUCUCUGCGGAGCAAAGGUGUGAUUCCGCCGGAGGAGCGGCUGAUGUGAUAUUAGCUAGUUGGUGGGGUAAAGGCCUACCAAGGCGAUGAUGUCUAGGGGGUGUGAGAGCAUGGCCCCCACGACCGGAACUGAGAUACUGUCCGGACGACCUACGGGUGGCUGCAGUCGAGAAUCUUCCGUCAAUAGGACGAAAGUACUGACGGAGCGACGCCGCCGUGCGGGAGUGAAGGACCCGUUC
rnacentral:rRNA from 1 species